rnacentral:tRNA from 1 species
CAGCAACUAGCUCAGUGGGUAGAGCAAAGGACUUUUAAUCCUUGGGUAGCGGGUUCGAAUCCCGCGUUGCCAA